ACUUUGAUCAUGGCUCAGGAUGAACGCUAGCUACAGGCUUAACACAUGCAAGUCGAGGGGCAGCGGGAUUGAAGCUUGCUUCAAUUGCCGGCGACCGGCGCACGGGUGAGUAACGCGUAUCCAACCUUCCGUACACUCAGGGAUAGCCUUUCGAAAGAAAGAUUAAUACCUGAUGGUAUGAUGAGAUUGCAUGGUAUCAUCAUUAAAGAUUUAUCGGUGUACGAUGGGGAUGCGUUCCAUUAGGUAGUAGGCGGGGUAACGGCCCACCUAGCCAACGAUGGAUAGGGGUUCUGAGAGGAAGGUCCCCCACAUUGGAACUGAGACACGGUCCAAACUCCUACGGGAGGCAGCAGUGAGGAAUAUUGGUCAAUGGACGAGAGUCUGAACCAGCCAAGUAGCGUGAAGGAUGAAGGUCCUACGGAUUGUAAACUUCUUUUAUAAGGGAAUAAACCCUCCCACGUGUGGGAGCUUGUAUGUACCUUAUGAAUAAGCAUCGGCUAACUCCGUGCCAGCAGCCGCGGUAAUACGGAGGAUGCGAGCGUUAUCCGGAUUUAUUGGGUUUAAAGGGAGCGCAGACGGGUCGUUAAGUCAGCUGUGAAAGUUUGGGGCUCAACCUUAAAAUUGCAGUUGAUACUGGCGUCCUUGAGUGCGGUUGAGGUGUGCGGAAUUCGUGGUGUAGCGGUGAAAUGCUUAGAUAUCACGAAGAACUCCGAUUGCGAAGGCAGCACACUAAUCCGUAACUGACGUUCAUGCUCGAAAGUGUGGGUAUCAAACAGGAUUAGAUACCCUGGUAGUCCACACGGUAAACGAUGGAUACUCGCUGUUGGCGAUAUACUGUCAGCGGCUUAGCGAAAGCGUUAAGUAUCCCACCUGGGGAGUACGCCGGCAACGGUGCAACUCAAAGGAAUUGACGG
rnacentral:rRNA from 1 species